rnacentral:rRNA from 1 species
CCUACGGGAGGCAGCAGUGAGGAAUAUUGGUCAAUGGACGAGAGUCUGAACCAGCCAAGUAGCGUGAAGAAUGACUGCCCUAUGGGUUGUAAACUUCUUUUAUAUGGGAAUAAAAUGUUCCACGUGUGGGAUUUUGUAUGUACCAUAUGAAUAAGGAUCGGCUAACUCCGUGCCAGCAGCCGCGGUAAUACGGAGGAUCCGAGCGUUAUCCGGAUUUAUUGGGUGUAAAGGGAGCGUAGGUGGAUUGUUAAGUCAGUUGUGAAAGUUUGCGGCUCAACCGUAAAAUUGCAGUUGAAACUGGCAGUCUUGAGUACAGUAGAGGUGGGCGGAAUUCGUGGUGUAGCGGUGAAAUGCUUAGAUAUCACGAAGAACUCCGAUUGCGAAGGCAGUUCACUGGACUGCAACUGACACUGAGGCGCGAAAGUGUGGGUAUCAAACAGGAUUAGAUACCCUAGUAGUC